CUCUAAGAUAAGCAGAGGCCGAGUAGUGGUAGAGCAGGCAUUCGGUAGACUAAAGUGCAAAUGGAGGAGAGUUAGGGUGCGUCCCAUUUCUACCCCUUACCCCUCCCCCUUACCCCUCCCCCUUGGUUUGAAGGGGUAAGGGUGUCCCAAUUCUCAUUUUGGUUAAGGGGUAGGGCGAAGACAAAAGGCUACGUAGCCCUUGAAACGAAGCCAAAACGUAGCUUGAAACGAAGCUAUCCAAGGACCACACUUCAAAGGGAGGGCUUCGAGGAAAAUCCGGCCGAAAAUGCAUUUUUACUAGUUGUUAUCAUUCGGACUCAUGAUGUAAAGUUGACUGUGUAUUCAGCUCGAAGUCAUACACGGACAAUGCGAUCUCUGAGCUCGAUAUAAAACAUGGCAUAACGGUAAAUAACCGUUGAACUAUACAUACAAGAUUUUGGCGCGCUCUAGUGGCCAAGCGAAAUCACCAUCAUCAUCAACAGCAGCGAUGGCUCAAACAAAGGAAAUGCACAAAUGGACACCACAGGAGACCAGACGCCUCAUUAAUUUCAGGUCGACCAGGGACAAUGAGUUUCUCAAGUCAAAAAUGAUCGCCCGAAAACAGUGGGAGCUUUUUCUGGAAGAAAUGGGGAUGGAGGGAAAAGUUACAAGGCAACAGGCUUCUAAGAAGUGGGAAAACCUCAAAAAGAAGUACAAGGAUUUGAGGACUUCCAAAACUGGGUCGGGGACGGAAAGUGGGGAGGUGACUGUGGCGACGUGGCAGUAUUACGAUUUGAUGCAUGAGGUUCUUGGUGCCCGGCCAGCAAUCGACCCACCAGUCCUUGUGUCCUCGAUUCAAGAAGACCCCAUGGUUAUCCUCAUGGAGAUGGUGGAGCCCUACAACCAAGCACCCCCGACAGCAGCCAGCACCCCAGUACACCCGCCGACCACAUCAAUCAUGCGAAGGAGGUCCAAAACAGUUGCAGAACUCCUGGCUGAGGAGGCACUUCAGGAGCAGAGGCGCCAUGAAGAGAGUGAGGCCAAGACAGAUCGCUUUCUUGAUCUCUUUGAGAGGAUGGUCAACAAAUUAUAAUUAUUGAUUUUUGUUGUUCCUAUGUUUUUUGUAUGCUAUUUAUUAUUCCUAUUUAUUAUUGUUGUAUAUAUUUCUAUUUAUUAUUUUA
rnacentral:lncRNA from 1 species